GCCAUUGUCACCCGUUGUCACCUUUGUACCCGUGUCCCCAUGUCUCAUUGUUCCCGUAACCCCACUGUCCCGUUGUCCCCACGCUCCCCGUGUCCUGUUGCCUCGUUGUCCCCAUGUCCCAUUGUCCCCAUUGUCCCCAUGUCCAGACGUCCCCAAUGUCCCCAUGCCUUAUUGUCACCAUUGUCCCCAUAACCCCAUUGUCCCGUUGUCCCCACUGUCCCCGUGUCCCGUUGUCUCGUUGUCUCCAUGUCCCAUUGUCCCCAUUGUCCCCAUUGUCCCUAUGUCCCAUUGUCCCCAAUGUCCCUAAGCUCUAUUGUCACCGUUGUCCCCAUAACCCCAUUGUCACCUUUGUACCCAUGUCCCGUUGCCCCCAUUGUCCCCAUUGUCCUCAAUGUCCCCAUGUCCAGAUGUCCCCAAUGUCCCCAUGCCCCAUUGUCACCAUUGUCCCAAUGUCCCAUUGUCCCCAUUGUCCCCAUGUCCAGAUGUCCCCAAUGCCCCCAUGCUCUAUUGUCACCGUUGUCCCCAUAACCCCAUUGUCACCAUUGUACCCAUGUCCCAUUGUCCCCAUUGUCCUCAAUGUCCCCACCUCCCAUUGUCCCCAAUGUCCCCAUGCCCUCUUGUCACCAUUGUCCCCAUGUCCAGUUGUCCCCAAUGUCCCCAUGCCCUAUUGUCCCCAUUGUCCCCAGUGUCCCCAUGUCCUGUUGUCCCCAUUGUCCCCAUAACCCCACUGUCCCUAUAUCCCAUUGUCUCCAUCGUCCCCAGUGUCCCCAUGUCUCAUUGUCCCCAUUGUCCCCUUGUCCCCAUUGUCCCCAUGUCCCAUUGUCCCCAUGUCCUAUUGGGGUUGUCCCCAUGUCCCAUCCUCAAUGUCCCCAUGUCCAGAUGUCCCCAGUGUCCCCAUGCCCCAUUGUCACCAUAAUCCCACUGUCCCAUUGUCCCCAUGUCCCAUUGUCCCCAUAACCCCACUGUCCCACUGUCACCCUUGUCCCCAACUUCCCAUUGUCCCCAUGUCGUUGUCCCCAUUGUCCCCAUUGUCCCCAUUGUCUCACUGUCCCCCUUGUCCCCACAUCCCAUUGUCCCAUUGUCCCCACGUCCCAUUGUCCCCAUUGUCCCCAUGUCCCCACACCCCUUUGUCCCCACAUCUCAUUGGUCCAUUGUCCCAUUGUCCCCAAUGUCCCCAUGUCCCAUUGUCCCCAUAACCCCACUGUCCCACUGUCACCCUUGUCCCCAACUUCCCAUUGUCCCCAUUGUCCCCAUUGUCCCAUUGUCCCACUGUCCCCACACCCACACGGUGACGUUGGGGUUAACAAUCCCUGGGAGGGGACAACAGGGACAUUUCUGGGGACAAAGUCCCUGGGUGUCACCCCCAUCACGUGGGUUGUGUCACCGUGCCCUGGGUGUCACCCGCCCCGAGGGCGUCACCAUUACCUACGUGUCACUGUCACCUCUGGGUCACCGUCACCUGGGGGUCACCAUCAGCACCUGAGUGUCACCACAGAGGGCUGUCACUGCGACCGUGGUGUCACCACCACAGCGAUGGUGGGUCAAAGUGGCCACCAUGUCACCAUGGCCACCACGUCAUCCUGACAAGUGCCACCAUGGCCACCACGUCACCCUGACCACAGUGUCACCCUGACCAGUGUCACCAUGGCCACCACGUCACCAUGACCACCAUGUCACCCUGACCACGGUGUCACCAUGACCACAAUGUCACAAUGGCCACCA
rnacentral:lncRNA from 1 species